AUUGAACGCUGGCGGCAGGCCUAACACAUGCAAGUCGAACGGUAACAGAAAGCAGCUUGCUGCUUUGCUGACGAGUGGCGGACGGGUGAGUAAUGUCUGGGAAACUGCCUGAUGGAGGGGGAUAACUACUGGAAACGGUAGCUAAUACCGCAUAACGUCGCAAGACCAAAGAGGGGGACCUUCGGGCCUCUUGCCAUCGGAUGUGCCCAGAUGGGAUUAGCUAGUAGGUGGGGUAAAGGCUCACCUAGGCGACGAUCCCUAGCUGGUCUGAGAGGAUGACCAGCCACACUGGAACUGAGACACGGUCCAGACUCCUACGGGAGGCAGCAGUGGGGAAUAUUGCACAAUGGGCGCAAGCCUGAUGCAGCCAUGCCGCGUGUAUGAAGAAGGCCUUCGGGUUGUAAAGUACUUUCAGCGGGGAGGAAGGGAGUAAAGUUAAUACCUUUGCUCAUUGACGUUACCCGCAGAAGAAGCACCGGCUAACUCCG
rnacentral:rRNA from 1 species